rnacentral:rRNA from 1 species
GAUGAACGCUAGCGGCAGGCUUAACACAUGCAAGUCGAGGGGUAUAGGUUUUCGGACCUAGAGACCGGCGCACGGGUGCGUAACGCGUAUGCAAUCUACCUUUCACAGAGGGAUAGCCCAGAGAAAUUUGGAUUAAUACCUCAUAGUAUAGCGGUUUCGCAUGAAACCACUAUUAAAGUUCCAACGGUGAAAGAUGAGCAUGCGUCCCAUUAGCUAGAUGGUAAGGUAACGGCUUACCAUGGCUACGAUGGGUAGGGGGCCUGAGAGGGAGACCCCCCAGACGGGUACUGGGACACGGACCAGACUCCAACGGGAGGCAGCAGUGAGGAAUAUUGGUCAAUGAACGCAAGUCUGAACCAGCCAUGCCGCGUGCAGGAUGACGGUCCUAUGGAUUGUAAACUGCUUUUGUACGAGAAGAAACAACAUUACGUGUAAUGUCUUGACGGUAUCGUAAGAAUAAGGAUCGGCUAACUCCGUGCCAGCAGCAGCCGCAGUAA